CCCUGCACCCCUGCACUUGAAAGUCUUUGCACUCCAAGUCGUUCACUGGUUUAAUUCUUUUUCUUUGGCUUCUCUUUCCAAUCCUCCUCUAUCCACUGAAAAAGGAAACUUGAAAUUCCCCAGCAGAAGCAAAUUAAAGUCGAGAUUGAUGGAUGAGAUCAGAAAUUGUUCCACUUUAUUACUAAUCAUAUUUAUUGCCGGUGUCUCUGCCUCCAACGGCGUCUUCAGCGUCAAGUACAGAUAUGCAGGCCGUGAGCGCUCUCUUAGUGACCUAAAGGCUCAUGACGAUCGCCGUCAGCUCCGUAUUCUUGCCGGCGUCGAUCUUCCUCUCGGCGGCAGCGGUCGUCCUGAUGGUGUCGGGCUUUAUUAUGCUAAGAUUGGAAUUGGAACGCCUUCAAAGGACUACUAUGUUCAGGUGGAUACUGGAAGUGACAUUAUGUGGGUCAAUUGCAUUCAAUGUAGGGAAUGCCCCAGAACAAGCUCUCUUGGUAUGGAUCUUACACUAUAUAAUAUUCAGGACUCGGUCACGGGGAAGUUGGUUCCUUGUGAUCAGGAGUUUUGCUAUGAGGUAAAUGGAGGUCCACUAUCUGGUUGUACAGCAAAUAUGUCUUGUCCUUAUCUUGAGAUAUAUGGAGAUGGGAGCUCUACUGCAGGUUAUUUUGUGAAGGACAUCGUGCAAUAUGAUAGAGUAUCGGGUGAUCUUAAAACUACAUCAGCAAAUGGAAGUGUUAUAUUUGGGUGUGGGGCUAGACAAUCAGGGGAUCUAGGCUCAUCUAAUGAAGAAGCUCUUGAUGGUAUACUUGGUUUUGGAAAAGCAAAUUCAUCAAUGAUUUCGCAAUUGGCUGCGACUGGAAAAGUGAAAAAGAUAUUUGCUCAUUGCUUAGAUGGUGUAAAUGGAGGUGGUAUCUUUGCUAUUGGGCAUGUUGUGCAACCAAAAGUUAACAUGACACCUCUGAUUCCAAACCAGCCCCAUUACAAUGUCAAUAUGACGGCAGUUCAAGUUGGUCAUGAUCUCCUAGAUCUUCCAAUUGAAGUGUUUGAGGCUGGAGAUCGGAAGGGAGCAAUAAUUGAUAGCGGUACAACCUUGGCCUAUCUCCCAGAAAUGGUUUAUGAACCACUAGUGAGCAAGAUAAUAUCUCAGCAACCUGAUUUGAAAGUUCAUACUGUGCGUGAUGAAUAUACAUGUUUUCAGUAUUCUGGGAGUGUGGAUGAUGGAUUUCCAAAUGUUACUUUUUAUUUUGAAAAUUCAGUUUUCUUGAAGGUUUAUCCACAAGAGUAUCUAUUCCCCUUUGAGAUUGGAGAUUCCUGACUCAUAUCCUUCACCAGCUACUUCGUUGGGAGAUCCUGUACCUCAUACUGAUCAUGAUUUUGACUUAGACUUACCCAUUGCUCUUCGUAAAGACUCUGUUCCUAUCCAUCAUACUGUUGGUGAGGCACUGUCUCAUCCUGGUUGGUGUGCUGCUAUGAAAGAGGAAAUGGAGGCUUUAGAUGCUAAUGGUACAUAGGAACUGUUGCCUUUGCCCACUGGUAAGAAAGCUAUUGGUUGCAAAUGGGUAUUUACAAUAAAGGUAAACCCUGAUGGUUCUGUGGCUAGUUUAAAAGCACGCCUUGUGGUAAGAGGAUAUGCUCAGACAUAUGGGGUUGAUUACUUUGACACUUUUUCUCCUGUAGCUAAACUUACUUCUGUUCGCUUGUUUAUCUCUUUAGCAGCUAUAUAUGAUUGGCCCCUGCACCAAUUGGAUAUCAAGAAUGCUUUCAUUCAUGGUGAUCUUCAGGAGGAGGUGUAUAUGGAGCAACCACCUGGUUUUGUUGCUCAGGGGGAGUUAGGUAAAGUUUGUACGCUUCGGAAGUUUCUUUAUGGCUUGAAACAAAGUCCUAAGGCUUGGUUUGGGAGAUUCAGUGAAGUAGCACAGGAAUUAGGUAUGCAAAAGAGUAAGUGUGAUCAUUCAGUAUUUUAUAGGCAAUCUGAGGUUGGUCUAAUUCUCCUGGUAGUCUAUGUGGAUGACAUUGUCAUUACUGGGAGUGACUCUGCAGAUACAGGAAAAUUAGGUGCUAAGCCUUGCAGUGCACCAAUAACUCCAAAUUUACAACUGUUAGUAGGGGAUAGUGAGUUGUUUGAAGAUCCAGAGAGAUACAAGAGAUUGGUAGGAAAAUUGAACUACCUUACAGUCACUCGUCUUGACAUUGCUUAUGCCGUUAAUGUGAUGCCGACUGGGCUGAAUCUAAGGUUGACAGGAGGUCAACUACUGGAUAUUGCGUUUUUGUUGGAGGAAAUUUGGUGUCUUGGAGAAACAAGAAGCAGAGUGUAGUUUCUUGAUCUAGUGCUGAAUCGGAAUGCAGAGCCAUGGUACAAUCAGUAUUUGAAAUAAUGUGGAUACUUCAAUUACUAGAUGAGACAGGUUUUAAGACCUCACUGCCUGCGAAAUUGUGGUGUGAUAAUCAAGCUGCUCUCCAUAUUGCUUCUAAUUCGGUGUUUCAUGAGUGGAUUAAACAUAUUGAGAUUGAUUGUCACUUUGUUCGUGAAAAGAUUCAACAACAGAUCAUCUCAACAGGACACAUCAAAACUGGUGAGCAGUUGGGAGAUAUUUUCACAAAAGCUUUGAAUAGAGCUAGGAUUGAUUACAUUUGUAACAAGUUGGGCAUGAUUAACAUCUAUGCUUCAACUUGAGGGGGAGUGUUAUGGAAAGUCAAUUACUAUAUUAUUCUCUAUAUAUGCUGUAUUCCUAUUUAGGAUUUCUUAUUUAGGAUUUCUUCCUAAUUAGUAGAACACAAUUGUAGGAAUCAAUUGUAUAUAUAUAUUCAUGUACAGAUUAAUUGAAAUUAAGGAGAAUCAUCUCUUUCUACAA